UCGGAUCUUGGGCGGGUUAAAUUUAACCCCAAGAAGAAGAAGCAGAAUCGAACCUAACAAUGUAUGAAAAAUCCUCUGAAAGGGUCCGGAUUUGCGACGGGAGGAGUCGCUGAAUGAUGGUUUAACAAUACAAAAACAAAAAAUCUACUAUGCUCUUACACAUGAAGAGCCAAGAGGGUAAAGGCAAAAAAAAGUCAGUAAACUUCAAAAGAGGGACCACACAUACAAAUGUUUUUUUUGUAAAUUUUGUUAGAUUUAAUGUAAAACAAAUGUAUUAUUUGUUAUAAAUAUAAAAUUUAUUA